AUGGGCUCAGUAGUUGGAUCACUGGACCACCAGGAAAUCCAUAUUCCACAUUGCCAAGGCUUUGGUGCUGUGCUGCAGCUUCAUCAUCAAGAUUUGGCAAGCAACAAUGGGAAAGGAAGGAUUUCUAUGAAGUUGAGAGAAGAGUCAUUCAAGUGCCCUGGACUGCACACCAGAAGCAAAGAGCUGACUUUGUACUUUUGCCCACAGACUGGAAUAUCUCACCUUGCUAAGAAGAAAGGUUUCAGAGAGGAUUUUGAUUUUUUUUCAGAUCACAAUGGUGGAUCUAUUUAAAUCCUGGAACUCUGAUGAUUGCUCCAAAAAUUCAUGCAACAGAGCAUCAUCCAAAAAAGGUCAGCUUUUACUGUUAAUAUAAAACUGUGAGGCUGGUAUUUGGAUCCCUUUUCACAGAGGAGGAAACGGAGUACAGGACAUUAAAGAAGUGCCCGAAGACCAUGAUGUCAAGCUGUCAGACCAUGAAACAUGCCUCCUAGGUCCCCAAGGGCAUUGUUCUUCCUCUGUCUGGAUGUUUAGGAAUAUCUGCCAAUAAUAACAAUUUUGUUUUUGUCAUUAGCGAUGACAGUUUUAUCACUGUUGCUUUUGAGAAAAAGAAAAAAAAAUGAGCCAACAGAUUCAGUUGCUUCUUGAAUAUUCCCUUAAUAGUGACUAUUGGAUCACACUGUUGAAAAGAGGCCGUGUAUUCAGGUCAUUAAAAAAAUAAAAAAGCUUUUAAGCUUCAGAUGGAGAAUUUAGAUAUAAUUAUCUAGUACAUAGCUAAAUUGCAACUAGAUCUAGGAAAAUAGAAUUCCUCU
rnacentral:lncRNA from 1 species